GGGCAAGUCUAACAUGCAGUUCCGAGCGAGCAUUUAAAGGAAGUUUUCGGAUGGAAUGUUAAUUGACUGAGCGGCGGACGGGUGAGUAACGCGUGGGUAACCUGCCUCAUACAGGGGGAUAACAGUUAGAAAUGACUGCUAAUACCGCAUAAGCACACAGAACCGCAUGGUUCGGGGUGAAAAGCCGAGACGGUAUGAGAUGGACCCGCGUCUGAUUAGCUAGUUGGAGGGGUAACGGCCCACCAAGGCAACGAUCAGUAGCCGACCUGAGAGGGUGACCGGCCACAUUGGGACUGAGACACGGCCCAAACUCCUACGGGAGGCAGCAGUGGGGGAUAUUGCACAAUGGGGGAAACCCUGAUGCAGCGACGCCGCGUGAGUGAAGAAGUAUUUCGGUAUGUAAAGCUCUAUCAGCAGGGAAGAAAAAAGACGGUACCUGGCUAAGAAGCCCCGGCUAACUACGUGCCAGCAGCCGCGGUAAUACGUAGGGGGCAAGCGUUAUCCGGAUUUACUGGGUGUAAAGGGAGCGUAGACGGCAAUACAAGUCGGAAGUGAAAUACCCGGGCUCAACCUGGGAACUGCUUUGGAAACUGUAUGGCUGGAGUGCUGGAGAGGUAAGCGGAAUUCCUAGUGUAGCGGUGAAAUGCGUAGAUAUUANGAGGAACACCAGUGGCGAAGGCGGCUUACUGGACAGUAACUGACGUUGAGGCUCGAAAGCGUGGGGAGCAAACAGGAUUAGAUACCCUGGUA
rnacentral:rRNA from 1 species